GAACGCACCUUGCGCCUCUUGGUAUUCCGAGGGGCAUGCCUGUUUGAGUGUCAUUGAAACCCUCAAGAGGGGAAGCUUUUUGUGGCUUCUUCUUUUGGAAUUGGAGCGUGCUGGCCUUUUUUUAGAAGCCCAGCUCCUCUGAAAUGCAUUAGCGAUGUGACAUCCUCGUGCCAUCACGCUUCUCCAGCAUUGAUAAGUCUCUUUCAUGCUCGAGUGUGUUGUGCUUAGGUGGAAAGUUUUGCUCGCUCACAGACCCAUUGGGGGCUUUGCCUCCCCCAUGCUUUGACCAAAUUAACCUCAAAUCAGGUAGGAUUACCCGCUGAACUUA
rnacentral:misc_RNA from 1 species